rnacentral:lncRNA from 1 species
UCCCUUUCUCUUUGUUCUUCAUCGACAACGUAAUAGCUCAUAAACCUCCUUAUGAGUAUAAACCCAUAGUCCUAAGCUUAGCAGUUGGUUAACCAUUUUCCACGUUCCACAUUCUAGAAACCUGGUGGCUGCUACCGUCAAAUGAAAAAUAAAUAAAUAAAUAGUUAAAAAGCGCAAAGUCCACCUACUAACCUAACCACUUUUCAAAAGUACAAUUAGGGUGACUAUUUGACUAGCAUAUAUAGUUGUCAUGCUCAUAACCAAGUGUGAUGAUAUAUUGCCAAAUAAUUAGAUCAUUAGCAUCAUUUACUCACAACAGGUAUAUUUAUUGUUCCCAAAUUGUUAUUUAGCUAAUCAUUUGUUUGUAUUUAAUGUAUAUCUUUUAAUUAUUGUAGUAGGUUAUUUUAGAUUAGCAUUAGGAGUUGUUUCCUUAUUAAAUUAGGUUAUUUAAAUUUUAGUAUAAUUAGGGUCAGUAGUCUACAUAAAGUGAUGUAAUUUAUUGUUAAAAGACAGAAUUUAGUAUACUGAUUGAUUUGAGAUUGGCUUUCGCCUUUGGGCCUUAUUGUUCUUCCUUUUUUCCCUUAUUUCUACUCAUUUACCCAAUCCAAAAACCCUUCUCAUCCUACAUCAAAGCUUUCCCUAAUAAGUUAAUGAAAAUAAAAACACUGCUCAUAUUCUCUAUGUGCAUGGAUUUGUGGAGUGACAAUUUCAUUUUUACCUUCUUUCACAUAUCCAUUUGUUCUAAAUUAUAGGACCAAUAUUGACUUUUCGAAGUCAAUUUGAGAUAUUUUCAUAUUCAAACUUGAUAUGAAUUCUUAUAUUUUUAGAAAACACAAUUAUAAAAGGGAAAAUGAUAUUUACACGUGUUUUUGUUAGUUCCGCAGGUCCCCCUCUCACAUGAAAGUGGGACCCACACCAUUCUAAUGUGAGAAGAGACCAUGUGAAACCAACAAAAGUACAUGUAAAAAUAGUUUGCUCCCCUGUUAAAAUUGUAUACUAUGUAAAAACUGCUAGUAAUUACAACAUUUAGUAUUUUCAAAAGUAAAAUGAAUUACAACAAUUUGAAUUUGAAAAUAUCUCGUAUUGACUUUAAACUUGAUUUUAUAUUUUGGAGUGGAAGGAAUAUAUUUUUUGUGUUUAUCACGCAGCCACGAACAUAUGGUUCAAUUCAAUCAACCCAAAAUCUUAUAUUCUACAUACUAUUUAUCUUCUACUUGAGUUGCUCUCAAAUCAUACUAAUUAGCUCCACCAAGUGAGGUAAAAUUUUAUAAUCUGUAAGAUGAAAAAAAUUCUAGGAAAUGGAAUGGAAAAGGAAAUUAGGGUUUAGUUUCUUCACAUAAUUUGUAAAUUGAAAAAAAAAAAUCCUUAAUGACAGUCGUACCCUAACCAGUCGACAAACAAGCACAAUUGAGAAAGAAACAAUGGCAACAGACUGCUACAAUAAACAACAAGAUUUCAAUUUGCAAAAUGGGAAAUGUGAGAAAUUCAAUAUAUAAAUUAUGACGCAUCUGAUAAUAAGUAUUUGAUACAAGGAUUGUUAAUUUCGGUAUCAUAUAUAUAUAUAUAUAUAUACAAGCACUUAUUGCUACAAACUAUAAAAUGAAGUUUAUACGAGUAUUUUUAUACCUUGAUGGCGGUAAAUGAGAAGUCCAGCCAGUGGAGGGGAAGAAACAUGGUCUAGCCAUUAGAUGGGAAGAAGAGAUUCCGACGUCUGUGGUGUACAGGUGUUGUUUCCUUCUCAUGUGCCUUAAUUCAUCUUAACAUCGUAAUGCAUGAUGCACAUUUUU